AGCAGCCGCGGUAAUUCCAGCUCCAAUAGCGUAUAUUAAAAGUUGUUGCAGUUAAAAAGCUCGUAGUUGAAUUUCGGGAUCAAUAUAUCGGUCGUGCCAUUGGUACGUACUGGUAUCAUUGGUUUCUCCUUUCUGACGAACCAUGAUGUCAUUAAUUUGGUGUUAUGGGAAGUUAGGACUGUUACUUUGAAAAAAAUUAGAGUGUUUAAAGCAGGCUUUAGCUUGAAUACAUUAGCAUGGAAUAAUGAAAUAGGACGUUCGAACCUAUUUUGUUGGUUUCUAGGAUCAACGUAAUGAUUAAUAGGGGAUAGUUGGGGGGCAUUAGUAUUCAAUUGUCAGAGGUGAAAUUCUUGGAUUUAUUGAAGACUAACUACUGCGAAAGCAUUUGCCAAGGAUGUUUUCAUUAAUCAAGAACGAAAGUUAGGGGAUCGAAGACGAUCAGAUACCGUCGCAGUCUUAACCAUAAACUAUGCCGACUAGGGAUCGGAUGAUGUUAAUUUUUUAAUGACUCAUUCGGCGC
rnacentral:rRNA from 1 species